GAUGAACGCUAGCGGCAGGCCUAAUACAUGCAAGACGAACGGUAAGUUGAGUAGCAAUACUUAGCCAAGAGUGUCGUACGGGUGCGUAACACGGAUGCAACCUACCCUAUACAGGAGGAUAGCCUAGGGAAACCUGGAUUAACCCUUCAUAGUAUUAUUGGAUGGCAUCAUUUGAUAAUUAAAACUGAGGUGGUAUAGGAUGGGCAUGCGUCUGAUUAGUUAGUUGGCGGGGUAAUGGCCCACCAAGACGAUGAUCAGUAGGGGUUCUGAGAGGAAGAUCCCCCACACUGGCACUGAGAUACGGGCCAGACUCCUACGGGAGGCAGCAGUAGGGAAUAUUGGUCAAUGGAUGCAAGUCUGAACCAGCCAUGCCGCGUGCAGGAAGAAGGCCUUCUGGGUUGUAAACUGCUUUUGCCAGGGGAUAAAAUUUCCAUGCGUGGAAAACUGAAGGUACCUGGUGAAUAAGCCACGGCUAACUACGUGCCAGCAGCCG
rnacentral:rRNA from 1 species